rnacentral:rRNA from 1 species
UACGGGGGGGGCAAGCGUUGUUCGGAAUUACUGGGCGUAAAGGGCUCGUAGGUGGCCAACUAAGUCAGACGUGAAAUCCCUCGGCUUAACCGGGGAACUGCGUCUGAUACUGGAUGGCUUGAGUUCGGGAGAGGGAUGCGGAAUUCCAGGUGUAGCGGUGAAAUGCGUAGAUAUCAAGCGGAACACCAGUGGCGAAGGCGAGUCCCUGGACAACUCCUGACACUGAUGCACGAAAGCUAGGGGAGCAAACAGG